CAGGCAGCGGGUUGCCGGGUGCGGAGACAGGCGCUGAUGAGACCUCUGGUUCGGGUCAUUGCCUCAGAGAUUUGCCCUUAACCAGUAGUGUCAUGGAUGAGGAGGACGACAGUCCUCACUGCCGGCUAGCGCCAUCAAUCUGUGUCUACUUCCAGUUGAGACAUCCGCUCUGAUGGACACUGCAUUUGCUUAAAGGAGAGAUAGGGAGAGUGCUCCGGGGAUGAUGACAAUCGUUGACCCUGUUUUUCUGUAAGACAAAGUGCACAGUUGGCUGCCAGACUUAUCCCCUGGUUAUGAAUGGACGACCUACCAGAAGGAGCUAAGCUUGUCAGUCUCCCUCGACUCCUAUGAAAAGGACAGCCCAUCCUGAGACCUCUGAUAGUGACCCGAGUUACUGUCCUGAUGACACAGACGGCUUCAUCAACAACGACAGGCAAUGUGUGUUAUGUGAAAAGUUGUAUUAAAAAAUACUCGACUUGAUAAACUAACAGGCUAAUUCCGCAGCCAAGCAGAUACAACUAGAGUCAUUUUUAGAACAAAAUGCAAUUUACCACUUGGCUGUCUGUUAUAUCACCCUGUCACAUGCCGUCCCAGUCAACACCACCACAUAAGAUUGCCUGCUGCAGUUGUUUAAGAGAUGUCCAGUU